GGAUGAGGAUCGGCUGUUUCUUUAGACUCCGUUUGCAGUUUUUCUUCGGAUUUCUCCCGACGGUACACUGGACAUCAUCUUCUCCUUUAGUGUGACGAGCAUCUUAUUUCCCAUGUUCAGCCUCACAGUAAGACCAACAGGACU